GGUUAGACGAAGAAUCUAAAUAGAAUAUUUUAUUAUUUUAAUUAACAGUGAUUAAUUUGAAGUGAAUUAUUUUCUUUUUUUAGGUGAAAUUUAUUUAAAGAUAUAAAAUAAUCUUUAAUUAAUUAAAGGAAUUAGUAAAUGAAGUUAAAAAACCAGGAUUAGAUACCCUGUUAUUCUUUACAACACUUAAUAGGGUAGUAAAAGUCAUUCUUCAAACCCAAAGAUUUUGGCGGCAUUCUAACCAAACAGAGGAGCUUGUCUUGUAAUCGAUAAUCCCCGUUUUAUCUUACCUUUAUUGGUUAAGCUUGUAUACCUCCGUUGUCAGAUUACUCUAAAAGGAUGUUUUCUAGAAAAAUUAUUUUUUUACUUCAGGUCAAGGUGCAGUUUAUAUAAAGGAAAUGAUGAGCUACAAUUUUUAUACAAAUACGGAUUUCAAAUUAAAAUUUGAUUGAAGGUGGAUUUGUUAGUAAGCUUUUUUUAGGAAAGAAAGCUGAAUUAGGCAAUAGAAUGUGCACAUAUCGCCCGUCACUCUCCUUCUAAGAGGAGAUAAGUCGUAACAAA
rnacentral:rRNA from 1 species